rnacentral:lncRNA from 1 species
GGUGAUCAGGAUGACCGACCAAAGUCGGAUCUAAUCAUUUGUAAUUUGAUUUCUGAGUAUGAUCAUGUUAAUGGUUGGACCUAACCAGACCUUUCAGUGGAGGCCAAAGCCUACUGUUAGGAUUCUAGGAUAAAAUCAAUUACUAAAAAUUAUUUAUUAAAAUAAUUGAUUAAGAACCUACCCAAAGAUGUACAUGGGUAAGCUGGCCAA